rnacentral:rRNA from 1 species
GUGCACCAGUCGCGAAACUUUACAAUGUGCGAAAGCACGAUAAGGGAACUCUGAGUGCCUCCUACGGAGGCUGUUCAGGUGCCUAAAACACACCUGAAGGAAGGGCUGGGUAAGACCGGUGCCAGCCGCCGCGGUAACACCGGCAGCCCAAGUGGUAGCCACUUUUAUUGGGUCUAAAGCGUCCGUAGCCGGCCAGGUAAGUUCCGUGGGAAAUUUGGCCGCUUAACGGUCAAACUACCAGGGAAUACUGCCUGGCUUGGGGACUGGGAGAGGGCAGAGGUACUCCAGGGGUAGGGGUGAAAUCCAUUAAUCCCUGGGGGACCACCGGUAGCGAAGGCGUCUGUCCAGACCAGGUCCGACGGUGAGGGGACGAAGGCUAGGGGGCGCGAACCGGAUUAGAUACCCCCGUAGU